UACGGGGGGGGCAAGCGUUGUUCGGAAUUACUGGGCGUAAAGGGCUCGUAGGCGGCCAACUAAGUCGGAUGUGAAAUCCCCAGGCUCAACUUGGGAACUGCAUCCGAUACUGGAUGGCUUGAGUUCGGGAGAGGGAUGCGGAAUUCCAGGUGUAGCGGUGAAAUGCGUAGAUAUCUGGAGGAACACCGGUGGCGAAGGCGGCAUCCUGGACCGAUACUGACGCUGAGGAGCGAAAGCCAGGGGAGCAAACGGG
rnacentral:rRNA from 1 species